rnacentral:rRNA from 1 species
UACGUAGGGGGCGAGCGUUGUCCGAAGUUACUGGGCGUAAAGCGCGCGUAGGCGGUCCGUUAAGUCCGGGGUGAAAGGUUCAGCGCUCAACGCGAACAGUGCCUUGGAGACUGGGGGACUUGAGUGUGGGAGGGGGCAGUGGAAUUCCGGGUGUAGCGGUGAAAUGCGUAGAUAUCCGGAGGAACACCGAUGGCGAAGGCAGCCUUCUGGGCCAACACUGACGCUCAUGCACGAAAGCGUGGGGAGCAAACAGG